rnacentral:rRNA from 1 species
GGGGAAUAUUGGACAAUGGGGGCAACCCUGAUCCAGCCAUGCCGCGUGAGUGAUGAAGGCCCUAGGGUUGUAAAGCUCUUUCACCGGUGAAGAUAAUGACGGUAACCGGAGAAGAAGCCCCGGCUAACUUCGUGCCAGCAGCCGCGGUAAUACGAAGGGGGCUAGCGUUGUUCGGAUUUACUGGGCGUAAAGCGCACGUAGGCGGAUUGGUCAGUUAGGGGUGAAAUCCCAGGGCUUAACCCUGGAACUGCCUUUAAUACUGCCAGUCUUGAGUAUGGAAGAGGUGAGUGGAAUUGCGAGUGUAGAGGUGAAAUUCGUAGAUAUUCGCAGGAACACCAGUGGCGAAGGCGGCUCACUGGUCCAUUACUGACGCUGAGGUGCGAAAGCGUGGGGAGCAAAC